AUGCAAAUACUUAGUGGAUCCUGUAUCUACUUUGGGAUAAUUUAUCACUGAAUAUCAGAGAAUGAGUAUUUCUCCAGGAACUAUUCGUUAUCUUUCUCAUUCCCCUGGGGCCCCAGUCUGAUUUGCCUUCUUUUGGCCCAAACUUAGUGGAAGACUUGGGUUCACCUAUGCAGAGAGACCACGUGCUUAGACACUACUGUGGACCUCCUUCAGACUCCUUUUCCCCAGUAAAAAGCUAACUUCAAAUCUGAUGGGGUGGUCAUGGAUGAAGCAAAGCAGUGAUAUGGAGAUUUGCACCCCUGGGCAGGAGACAGCAUGAAUUUUCUGUAGAGAAAAUUGACAAGAACUUCUCAGCUGUGGAUAAAUAUUUCUACAGUGUUUUCAACGCAAUCCUUUUAUAUGAGAUGCGCCUGUCAAGGAAGCAGGAGAGGGUGGAUAGCAUGAUGAGUGCCUUCGAAUGCUUUGUUUAUGUCUCUGCGGGGUGGAAGUAUUUUGUUAACUCUGUGCUCACAAUGUGGAUCAGUUGCUGCUGCCAACAUAAAUAUUUUCAAAUAUUUCACCAAGAAUUGCUGCAAAGCUACAGGAGAUUUUCUGCCUAUAUGACUGAGAUCGUGUCUCCUUUGAUUUCAACUUCAUUUAAUUUUGCAGAAGAGGCAAACACAAGAUGAGUAAUAGUGCAGCCCUCCAACUUGCAUUAUUGAUACUUCCAAAGUGUCCGGUUCAAACAGGGGCAGAAUGUUAACAGAACUGAGAGUAUCAGUCUAGUGGCUGAAGGACAAAAAUAAUCUGCCUUUUUGAUCUUUGCUGGUCAACAAAAGCAUGCUUUGCUUGCUCCAUAAGUCUUUCAUGUGAGAGAAAAUGGGCAGAGAUGAAAACCCACGUCUGAUCUAACGCUUUUGCAAGCUGUGUUUUCUUACACCCACAGGAGAUGAAGAGUUCUGGCCUUUGAGAAUAAUGGACAAAGAAACUGCAUUAACAGUCCCUCAUUGUCCAUGUGUCGCUCAGAUGACCAAGGCCAAACCCUACUAACCCUGGGCAGGACAGGAGCAUGGUGUAAAGUGAAGAGCAAGAGAAAGUUUCACAGGAUAAGUGAUGGCCAACUGAAGUUUCUCUUUUGUGAGAUGCCAAGCUUUGGUCAAAGGCAACACAUGAGAGUGGAGUCUGCAUAUGACGACUUGCAUUGGGAACUGCACUGAAUAUAGCACACAGUCCAUCUGCAAGUCGUUUCUCUUCAGCUUUAUCCCGUGGGAAGUAGUGUGCUUUACAGACCUGACAGCUGCAUCUCUUUCAACUGUGGCUAUGCAGAGCAGAGCAGCUCCUCCAGCUGAGGCUACAGGGAUUCUGCUAUGCAGGACUUGAAGAGCGAGGGUGAGAAGCUCUACUUGUUCUCUGC